GGAGAAUCCAGGGACAUGCCUCAAGACACAGCACCAGGGUCUGACCAAUUUGGACAUAAUGAUAAUCCUGAUGAAUCCAAGGAGAAAUGUUUGCAAAGACUGAAACUUGGCUGAAUGAGGCUGAAGAAGCAGCAG
rnacentral:lncRNA from 12 species